rnacentral:lncRNA from 1 species
GUUGCUGCGACUUUCUGGGACAUGAAGGCUGUGGGGCUGCGCGCGGGUGACUUUCUACGCAAGGGAAAAUGCUAGUUUAAAGGCCUCUCGACAAUAUUUCGGCGACAGCAGAGCUCCGCCCGCGCGGAGGCUAACCAGGUAAUGUAGCUCUGAUACCAAAUAGAAUUUAGAAGGCUUUAAUUUUAUUAAUCACACACAUCACUAAAAUAUAUAAAUAACCUAAAAGACUAAAUAAUGAAAACUAAAUAGUAAAUAUGAAAAAUCAUAUGGUCAACAUGACCUAUUAUAAUCCUAAUUUGGGAAAUCUUCCUAUUUUUCGGAAGCUGAAUCAUUCUAAUAUUCUAAUUUCAACACUUCACUCCCCCUCAAGCUAGGGCGAAGAUAUCCGACGAGCUCUCAUCUUGACAACAGACGCUUGCCGCAAUAAGGGGCCAUGGACUGCACAGAGGGGCCACAUCUAACCAAUGUGAAAAAAUUCACACGCGCCCGGCACGUGUGGCACACCCAAACACGCGAAUUACGGAAUAGGGUAAACUGAGAACAACACUGGGAAUGAAGCAAAUCAACACGGCCCCCGCACUGGUGAACGUGAGAACAUAUAAUGUUGCUUGUGCUGCGACUGUCUGGGGCUUAGGCUGUGGCUGCGCGCGGGACUUUCUACGUACAAGAAAAUGCUAGGUAAAGGCUCGGAUAAAUAUUUGACGACAAUCAGAGCCGCCGCCGGCGGCGAAGCGGAGAGCUGAUCAAGAUAUUGUAGCUCUGAUACCAAAUGAAAUUUUAAGAAAGGCUUAUUUUAUUAUCACACACACAACUAACCCUCAAUAUAUAAUAUAACCUAAGACUAAAUAAGGAAAACUAAAUAAGUAAAUAUGCAAAAUAUCAAUAGGCAACAUGACCUAAUUUAAAUUCCUAAUUUGUAAUCUCCUAAUUUAUUAAUUAGGAAGUAUCAUUCUAAAUAUCUAUUUUCACAACACUCCCCCAAGCUAGGCGAAGAUAUCGAUCUCUCCAGCUUGACAACAGACAUUGCAGCAAUAAGGGGCCGAUGGCACUGCCCAGAGGGGCCACCAUCUAACCAAUGUGAAAAAUUCAACACGCUCCCGCACGUGUGCACAACCCCAAACAACGCGAAUUACGGAUAUAGGUACGGUUAGAACAACAUGGCUAUAUGAAAAAAUUCAACCCGCCCCCGCAACGUGAAAACGUGGAGCACAGACAAUGGCUGUGCUGUCGACUGUCUGUGAAUGAGGCUGUGGCUGCGCGCGGGUGACUUUCUAACGUCAAGGGAAACUAGUUAAGCCUCGGACAUAUUUCGGCGACCAGCAGAGCCGCCGCCGCGGUCGGAGGCCUAACCAAGAGUAAAUGUAGCCUGAUACCAAAUAAAUUUAGAAAGGCUAAUUUUAUAAUCACACCACACAUCCCCUUCAAUAUAAAUAUAACCAGACUAAAUAAGGAAAAAUAAAUAAGUAGAAUAAUGAACAAUCAAUAUGGGCAACAUGAACCCUAUUAAAAUUCCCCUAAUUUUGGGGGAAUCUUCCUAUUUUAAUUAUGAAGUGAAUCAUUCUAAAGAUAUUCUAUUUCAUUCAACACUUCCCCCUCAAGCGGCGGGAAGAUAUCUACGAGCUACAGCUUGACACAGACGAUUGCAGCAAUAAGGGGCCGAUGGACUGGCACAUAGGUGCCCCAUCUAACCAAUGUUAAAAAAUUCAACAACGCUCCCGCACGUGUGGCCAUGCCAAACCCGCGAAUUACGGAUAUAAUAGGGUAACGUGGAACAAAUAUGGCUUAUAUGAAAAAUCAACACGCCCCCGACGUGUGGCACCGCCAAACAACGCGGAUUAACAACAUGGAACGUGAGACAAGACAUGGCUGUGCUGCGACUGUCUGGGACAUGAGGCUGUGGCUGUGUGCGGGUGCUUUCUUUUUCUACGCAAGGGGAAAUGCUUAGGUUCAGGCUCUGACAAUAUUUCGGCGACAGCAGACCGCUCCGGCGGCGAAAGCUGAAGAGGCUGACCAAGAGUAAAUGUGGCUCUGAUACAAGAAAAUUUAGAAUGACUUAAAUUUUAUUAUCACACACCACCAUCAAUAUAUAAUAUAAACCUAAACGAAAUAAGGAAAACUAAUAUAAAAUACUGAAAAAAUCAUAUGGUCCAGCAUGACCUAUUAAUAAAUUCCGAAAUUUGGGAUCUUUCCUAAUUUAAUUAGAGUGAAUCAUCCUAAUUUCUAAUUUCAUCAACAUUAUGUAUCCUUAUGUUUUGCUCCUUCCUCUUUUUGUGUUCUUGAACUGAUUAAUUUUCCGGUUAUUCUUUGUUGACGCUUCUAAGACCUAUAGAUUUGCCAUCACUUACCUCCAUCCCCCAACUCAAUUAACGUAAUUACAUGAAUGGGUUAUUCAAAAAGGGAAAGUCGCUACUUAGCCCCCUACAGUACAAUUGAAUAUUAUAUAUAUUAUUUUUGAUGAUUUUGUAUGUUGAUUGAAGACGGCCAGAAGCCUCACCAGCAGAGUAUGCAAGAGCCAAUAAGGAGCUGCGAAACCUCAGGGGUUCAAUGGAUCUUAUAAAUGAAUUGAGGGCUAAACAGAAGGUAUACUUACUGGGCCUUCAAGAUCAUCUUUUAUUCUCAACACUGUUCGGUUUGGACCUUAUUCAGAGGAUAUGAUGUGUUUUCCAGAGCUUCCAGUAUCAUGUUUGUCCUUCCUGCUUGAGAUUCAAAUAAAGGAAAACUUUAGCUAGGAUUGCCCUUCCAUCCCCAUUUAAGCAUCCAGACACCAAGAAUUCUACUUUAAAAAAUAAAUGAACAUAUAUUUUAUAAUUAAUGAAAUAGGAUGGUUCUCCUUGUUUGAAUAUUUAUUUCUAAAACGUGUCAAAAAUAUGUAAAUUGGUGGUUUUAUACUAUAAUAUCCACUUCAAUAUGAUUUCUAUUUUCUUCAUGGUUAUUUGAAUGCAUGCUUUCUUGAGAGAGAGAGAGAGAGAGAGAGAGAGAGCGUCGGGGUGAAUGGGUGGGUGGGGUCAAGGUCCUGUUAUAUAUCUUUUUUCCCAUGCCCCCUUUUAAACUCAUCUCUAGGUUUCGUCGUCCCAUUAUCUCUCUUACUUCCUCUUGGAUUUUGUUCUAGCACUCUUUUAUGUUGUUUAGCUCCUAAUAUGACAUACGAACAUGAAAUUAUCAGGACUACCAUGCCACCUCAUAAAUAAUCAGCUGAAGCUUGCCUGCUUAUUUUAUGUCUUUGCAUAAUAAUAUAAUAUUCUGGCUUCUGUUCUUAGGAGACUUGAAAGUUUGCAUUGUGCUUUCCUUUAUUUUUUUAUUUUUUUUUGUGUCUGGGGGGUUGCGGUGUAGCCAUAGGAGAAGAGAUUCAAACACCAUCGGUGGAUUAGGGCCCAGUUUUGCUCUCUUGGCAGAGAGUGAAGGCUCAGGGUGUGAAGGUUGUCCCGCCCCUCCCCCAUUUUUAGUACAAAGCCCUACUCGGGGAGAAAUGGCAUGGAGGUUUGCUGUUAUAGGGAGAGAAAUCGUAAUGAUGAACGAUGGGUCCACAGGGAUUGUUUGGAUUUCUCGGAGGUGUAAAGUAAACCACCCUGAGGGUCGUUUGAAGGCUUUGGCAAAUUCUUGAAUGGAUUCUUGAAGAUGGCUGCUUUUAUGGCGCGGUAGAGGGAAAAAGUGAAGUCUUGGAUACAGAAGUGGAAUGGAGACGGACCCUGUGUGAAGUGGCAUUUCAUUAUUAUCAUUCCACCAGAUAGGGACGACUUCAGUGGAGUUAUGUGUAGAGGGGAGGAAGGAGAGGGGUUUCUUUUGGGGAAUGGCCCCUUCUUGUGGAGAGGAAUAUGGACGAUUGUGAGAUAAAUCGUCUUUCUAGGCCUCUUGAUUGGCUCUACUCGUAUCGGGAGGGAGGAUUGUCUUUGUUGGGAGCAUAGUCUUUGCAGUGAAGUCCUUUUACAUGGUAUCAUUGGGCUCAAGAAAGACUAAUUUUCUGUGGAAAGGUAUUUGGUUGGUAGGGACUCUUCCAAAGUUGCCUUCUUUGUGUGGAAUGGGGCCCUCUGGACAAUCUUAUCAGAAGGCACCAUUCUAGUGUUAGUUGGUGUUGUCUUUGCAAGCAGGACGAGGAAACUGUUGAUCAUCUGCUCAUUCCUAGCAAGAUGGCUAAUGUGGUGCUUGGUUCCAGGCUUCCAGCUUGUUUUGGGAGGCAUUGAGACUUUCAAAAAGACAUGAUGGAAAUUUUGUUUGGUUAGUCGGGGGAUAGAGUCGAGAAGCAAAGGCAUAAAGCUUGGUUGUUGGUUCCAUUAUACUUGACGUAGUUAAUUUGGAUUUUGAAGAUAAUAGCAUAAAUAGAGGGACUUUCCAUGGAAGAGGAUCUAUCAUCGGAUUUUAAGAGUUCAUUUACAUCUAUUUGUAUUGUGGGAUCUGGGAUUGGUUGCCUAGCUUGGACAAUUGUGGAUUUUAAGAUUACUGUAUACGUGAGAGUUUUUUUGGCCUUUUGUGUGUAUAGGCCUUUUAAUGGUUAGCAUCCCUGAUACUUCUGAUAUAAUUCUUAAUCAGAAAAAGUUGGUUGUAGCUGAUAGUCAAAAACAUGUUUGAAUCUUAUGUUCUUCAGUCGCAUUGUGGCUAGAAAAUGAGUUAUCUUAAGUCUAUUGUAGGGACAUUGAGAGAGAGCAUUUUAUAUGUUGCAGAAAUGAGGCAGCUGGAUGUUGUAUACAUUUUUGCCUUCAAUUAUUUUCGCCAUCAUUUUGAUGUGAAGGACAAUGUUUUCCGUUGAACUUUUUUUUUAUUUAAGAUCUUUAUUUUUUCCCUAGGAGGAUUGAAGGUUUGCAGUCCCAUAGUGGCUGAAUGUCGAUAAGACAAAGAAUGCUGAACAUGCAACAGAAGAAUUAGUGUCAAGCAAUAGAAAAGCAUCGAUGGACGUGCAGAUCAGCCUAUUAAAGUCACUAUUGUCAGCAAGGAAUCCUUCGCAAGGAUGAUACUGAUUACCGGGACUUGUAAUUUUGGCGGUGAGGCAGGUAAAUUAUUAAUUAUAU